GCCUACGGGAGGCAGCAGUGGGGAAUUUUGCGCAAUGGGGGAAACCCUGACGCAGCAACGCCGCGUGAGUGAUGAAGGCUUUCGGGUCGUAAAGCUCUGUCUAGAGGGAAGAAAUGAUAAUCGGUUAAUACCCGGUUUUCUUGACGGUACCUCUGAAGGAAGCACCGGCUAACUCCGUGCCAGCAGCCGCGGUAAUACGGAGGGUGCAAGCGUUGUUCGGAUUUAUUGGGCGUAAAGCGCGUGUAGGCGGUUUGUUAAGUCUGAUGUGAAAGCCCCGGGCUCAACCUGGGAAGUGCAUUGGAAACUGGCAGACUUGAAUACGGGAGAGGGUAGUGGAAUUCCUAGUGUAGGAGUGAAAUCCGUAGAUAUUAGGAGGAACACCGGUGGCGAAGGCGGCUACCUGGACCGAUAUUGACGCUGAGACGCGAAAGCGUGGGGAGCAAACAGGAUUAGAUACCCUGGUAGUC
rnacentral:rRNA from 1 species